CUUUGUAUGAUUAUGGGCGUUGAUUGGUAGUGGUCACUGGUUGGACGUUAUUUGCUGGUGUGUAUAUUGUGAUUGAGAUUGCUCGGGGUAAUAGGUUAUGUGAUUAGAAGAAGGAUUAUAAGGAGUGGGAAGAAGAAAGAGAGGAAGUACAGUUUGAUCAAACCUUUUUGGGUAGAGGUGGUGAUGGAGGCUGAGAUUUGAGCCUAGCCACACCCCCACGGGAGACAGCAGUGAUAAACCUUUAGCAAUAAACGAAAGUUUAACUAAGCCAUACUAACCCCAGGGUUGGUCAAUUUCGUGCCAGCCACCGCGGUCACACGAUUAACCCAAGUCAAUAGAAACCGGCGUAAAGAGUGUUUUAGAUCAAUCCCCCAAUAAAGCUAAAAUUCAUCUGAGUUGUAAAAAACUCCAGCUGAUAUAAAAUAAACUACGAAAGUGGCUUUAAUAUAUCUGAACACACAAUAGCUAGGACCCAAACUGGGAUUAGAUACCCCACUAUGCCUAGCCCUAAACUUCAACAGUUAAAUUAACAAAACUGCUCGCCAGAACACUACGAGCCACAGCUUAAAACUCAAAGGACCUGGCGGUGCUUCACAUCCUUCUAGAGGAGCCUGUUCUGUAAUCGAUAAACCCCGAU
rnacentral:ncRNA from 1 species